GUAGGUGGCAAGCGUUGUCCGGGAAUUAUUGGGCGUAGAGCGCGCGCAGGUGGUUCUUUAAGUCUGAUGUGAAAGCCCCCGGGCUCAACCGGGGAGGGUCAUUGGAAACUGGGGAACUUGAGUGCAGGAGAGGAAAGUGGAAUUCCACGUGUAGCGGUGAAAUGCGUAGAUAUGUGGAGGAACACCAGUGGCGAAGGCGACUUUCUGGCCUGUAACUGACACUGAGGCGCGAAAGCGUGGGGAGCAAACAGGAUUAGAUACCCUGGUAGUCCACGCCGUAAACGAUGAGUGCUAAGUGUUGGGGGGUUUCCGCCCCUCAGUGCUGCAGCUAACGCAUUAAGCACUCCGCCUGGGGAGUACGGUCGCAAAGACUG
rnacentral:rRNA from 1 species